rnacentral:misc_RNA from 1 species
GAUGAAGAACGCAGCGAAAUGCGAUAAUUAAUGUGAAUUGCAGAAUUCCGUGAAUCAUCGAGUCUUUGAACGCACAUUGCGCCUCAUGGCAUUCCGUGAGGCAUGCCCAUCUCAGCGUUAGAAAAUAUUCUCAAAUUUUAGUUUUGUGCUAAAAUUUGGAUCAUGUCAAGGAAGCUAUUACUAUUAUUGUGAUCGCUCUUUGGAAAUUGAUAGGUCUUUGAGUUGCUACUCAUAGAACGUGAUGAAUCUUUCUUCGUUCUAUUGUAAUUCACUCUGGUAGUCCUAAAACUUGUAUGCCUGUGGCAUAUCUUGUAAUUUGACCUGAGAUUGGGUAGGGAUACCCGCUGAACUUAAGCAUAUCAAUAAGCGGGGA